CCUCCUUAUGGACAAGGGAUUAAUAGUAUGGCUGGCAUGAUCAACCCUCAGGGACCCCCAUAUUCCAUGGGUGGAACCAUGGCCAACAAUUCUGCAGGUAAGUGCUAGUCAUUCUCACUAGGGAUUUCUUCAAGAGUCACAUCACAGCUAAACUUACUGGACUUGAGAAUUUUUUUCUCUUUUACAGGGAUGGCAGCCAGCCCAGAGAUGAUGGGCCUUGGGGAUGUAAAGUUAACUCCAGCCCCCAAAAUGAACAACAAGGCAGAUGGGACACCCAAGACAGAAUCCAAAUCCAAGAAAUCCAGUUCUUCUACUACAACCAAUGAGAAGAUCACCAAGUUGUAUGAGCUGGGUGGUGAGCCUGAGAGGAAGAUGUGGGUGGACCGUUAUCUGGCCUUCACUGAGGAGAAGGCCAUGGGCAUGACAAAUCUGCCUGCUGUGGGUAGGAAACCUCUGGACCUCUAUCGCCUCUAUGUGUCUGUGAAGGAGAUUGGUGGAUUGACUCAGGUCAACAAGAACAAAAAAUGGCGGGAACUUGCAACCAACCUCAAUGUGGGCACAUCAAGCAGUGCUGCCAGCU
rnacentral:sRNA from 1 species